rnacentral:rRNA from 1 species
CAGGAAAAGGAUUUAAGUCCUACCUUAAGUUUCUUCGUAACUCUAAUUACUUCACAAAACUUAAGAGCUAUUCAAAUAAGGUACAGCCUAUUUGAAACAGGAUACAACCUACAACACUGGGUAAUGAAUUCUGCUUAAUAAUUAAGUGGGCCUAAGAGCAGCCACCUUUAAAAAAGCGUUAAAGCUUUAUUAUACUAGCACAAUAAUUACAUUAAUACCCCAAAACCCUUACCCCAUACUGAGUGACUUCAUAAUAUUAUGAAAAACCAUAUGCUAGAACUAGUAACAAGAAGAAGACCUUCUCCAAAAUGUACGUAUAGGCCAAAAUGAACAACUCAUUGGCAUUUACCGCUUAUGAACUAACAGUAGUAACUCAACAAGAAAACUCUACUAUCCAUAACGUUAACCUUACACUAGCACAUUCCCAGAAAGAUUAAAAGGAAGGGAAGGAACUCGGCAAAUAAUAACCUCGCCUGUUUACCAAAAACAUCGCCUCCUGAACAAUCAUAGGAGGUCCAGCCUGCCCAGUGACAAAGUUAAACGGCCGCGGUACCCUAACCGUGCAAAGGUAGCGCAAUCACUUGUUCUUUAAAUAAGGACUAGUAUGAAUGGCAUCACGAGGGUUAUACUGUCUCCCCCACCUAAUCAGUGAAACUGAUCUUCCCGUGAAGAAGCGGGAAUAGAAUUAUAAGACGAGAAGACCCCAUGGAGCUUUAAACUCAACAUCAACUGCCCUUUAAAUAGCUUAUUAACCACGCAGAUCUGACAGUUAGUUUUCGGUUGGGGUGACCGCGGAGUAAAACAAAACCUCCACGAUGAAAGGAAUUAACCUCCUAAUCCAAGAGCUACAGCUCUAAGAAUCAACAAAUUGACAAAACUUGAUCCAAAUAUUUUGAUCAACGAACCAAGUUACCCUGGGGAUAACAGCGCAAUCCAUUUCAAGAGCUCAUAUCGACAAAUGGGUUUACGACCUCGAUGUUGGAUCAGGGUAUCCCAGUGGCGCAGCCGCUA